GAUGUCCGAUUCUAUCUGUCCACGAGCGCUUUACCAUUAAGUACCGGACACCCUGUAUAUUUAAUAUUAGAAGAACAGUAUACAGAUUAGUGCAACAAUUGGAAGCAGAAGGCCAUGUAAGCUCUCGUCCAACAGGAUAUCUACGUUGCAUAUAAUGAGCGAAGAAGAUCAACGUCUGAUGGUCAACCUAAUGCGGAAGAUCGACUUUCGAUUAUCGUGGCAAAUGACAGGGAUGGAAGCUUGUUUAAAUUAUUAUAAUAAAAUGAUUUGAAAAACAUAUAUACAGAACUGUGUAAACAAGUUUAUCACAUCUUGUUCUGUGUAUGUGUACAACUUGUAUAUGUGGACAGACAUGUGUGUCUACACAUGUCUGUCAUUUUGUCAAAUCAUCGUAAUUUUAUUAAAAAUUAUUGAUUGCUU